AGUGUAGGCGGGAUCGUAAGUUAGGAGUUUAAUACAUGGGCUUAACCCAUGAGCUGCUUUAAAUACUGCGGUUCUUGAGUAUGGGAGAGGGCGAUGGAAUUCCAGGUGUAGCGGUGGAAUGCGUAGAUAUCUGGAAGAACACCAGUAGCGAAGGCGGUCGCCUGGCCCAAUACUGACGCUGAUGCUCGAAAGCUAGGGGAGCAAACAGGAUUAGAUACCCUGGUAGUCCUAGCCGUAAACGAUGGACACUAGUUGCUGGAGGAGUCAAUCCUUUCGGUGACGAAGCUAACGCAUUAAGUGUCCCGCCUGGGGAGUACGUUCGCAAGGAUGAA
rnacentral:rRNA from 1 species